GGAGAUAUAGCUCAGUGGCAGAGUGCUUGCCUCGCACACAUAGGUCCCUGGGUUCAAUCCCCAGUACUGCAA
rnacentral:tRNA from 1 species